AGCAGUCGCCGCGGUAAAACAGAGGAUGCAAGCGUUGUCCGGAAUUAUUGGGCGUAAAGCGCGCGCAGGCGGAUAGGUCAGUCUGUCUUAAAAGUUCGGGGCUUAACCCCGUGAUGGGAUGGGAACUGCCAAUCUAGAGUAUCGGAGAGGAAAGUGGAAUUCCUAGUGUAGCGGUGAAAUGCGUAGAUAUUAGGAAGAACACCAGUGGCGAAGGCGACUUUCUGGACGAAAACUGACGCUGAGGCGCGAAAGCCAGGGGAGCGAACGGGACUAGAGACCCCUGUAGUCCCUGUCUCUUAUACC
rnacentral:rRNA from 1 species